AUUGAACGCUAGCGGGAUGCUUUACACAUGCAAGUCGAACGGCAGCGCGGACUUCGGUCUGGCGGCGAGUGGCGAACGGGUGAGUAAUGUAUCGGAACGUGCCCAGUAGCGGGGGAUAACUACGCGAAAGCGUAGCUAAUACCGCAUACGCCCUACGGGGGAAAGCAGGGGAUCGUAAGACCUUGCACUAUUGGAGCGGCCGAUAUCGGAUUAGCUAGUUGGUGAGGUAACGGCUCACCAAGGCGACGAUCCGUAGCUGGUUUGAGAGGACGACCAGCCACACUGGGACUGAGACACGGCCCAGACUCCUACGGGAGGCAGCAGUGGGGAAUUUUGGACAAUGGGGGCAACCCUGAUCCAGCCAUCCCGCGUGUGCGAUGAAGGCCUUCGGGUCGUAAAGCACUUUUGGCAGGAAAGAAACGUCGCGGGCUAAUACCCCGUGGAACUGACGGUACCUGCAGAAUAAGCACCGGCUAACUACGUG
rnacentral:rRNA from 1 species